GUUAAUGUAGCUUAAAAUAAAGCAAAGCACUGAAAAUGCUUAGACGGAUAGUUUAUCCCAUAAACA
rnacentral:tRNA from 1 species